GUCCCUGUAGCGCAAUGGGUAGCGCGUUGGUGUAGCUAAUCAAAGGUUGUGGGUUCGAAUCCCACCUGGGAUG